UGUUCUGUGGCUUAGUUGGUUAAAGCGCCGCGCCGGUCUAGCGAAUACGGAGUCAUGGGUUUGAAUCCCACCAGAACGC
rnacentral:tRNA from 1 species